CUCUGUCCCUCCCGCCCGUCCCAGAGCGCAGCCCGGCGGGAUCCAGCCCUGUGGCCGGAGCCAGGUCCGCAGCGCGUCGCGGAUGAAGAAAACUGAGGCUACAGUAACAUGCUCAGAAUCAUAAAUGGUUGAGCCCUGAUCAGAACCCAGGAACUGGUGACAGUGAAGGAUGAGGAAAUGGAUUUUGCCCAUGUGGAGGUGGACCAGCUGAAUUCUGCCCAGAGGAACAUGGGCCUGGAUCUGAAGGUGGAGAAUUGUGGAAGCCUGGUAUUUUGGGGCGGUGAGGUCCUGGAGGACACGGGCCGCGUGAGGGCUUUCAGAACCGCCCCCAGGCUCACACCGCGCCUUCCCAGAGUGAGCGCAGGCCCACAGCAGCUGAAAGAAGGGGAUGACCUCAGAGCCCCCUUCCGCCUCUGAGCACCUCCCAUCGUGGCCAUGGGCGCCAAUCAUGAAAGGUACCUGUUGCUUUGGCCAGGGGAAGCCCCAGAAGGACCGCUGAGUGUGCCUUCCCUCUUCCAGUUACUCCUCUGAGCACGAGCACGAGUGGCCACCAAGCCCCUGGUGGUCAGGCCCAGCAUUGCAGCAACAGGCGG
rnacentral:lncRNA from 1 species